rnacentral:miRNA from 1 species
UCCUCCGUAUCACCUGCUCUUCUGGUGGUCUGCUGACUGGGAAGCCUGCUCCUCCUCCUCUCGCCUAGAGCGUUCACCUGUGAGUCAGCCUUGGCAAAGAGCAGCAAAAGGAAGCUGAGG